AUACGUAGGGUGCGAGCGUUAAUCGGAAUUACUGGGCGUAAAGCGUGCGCAGGCGGUGCUGUAAGACCGAUGUGAAAUCCCCGGGCUUAACCUGGGAACUGCAUUGGUGACUGCAGCGCUGGAGUAUGGCAGAGGGGGGUGGAAUUCCACGUGUAGCAGUGAAAUGCGUAGAGAUGUGGAGGAACACCGAUGGCGAAGGCAGCCCCCUGGGCCAAUACUGACGCUCAUGCACGAAAGCGUGGGGAGCAAACAGGAUUAGAUACCCUGGUAGUCCACGCCCUAAACGAUGUCAACUGGUUGUCGGGCCUUCAUUGGCUUGGUAACGUAGCUAACGCGUGAAGUUGACCGCCUGGGGAGUACGGUCGCAAGAUUAAA
rnacentral:rRNA from 1 species